UACGUAGGGGGCUAGCGUUAUCCGGAUUUACUGGGCGUAAAGGGUGCGUAGGUGGUUUCUUAAGUCAGAGGUGAAAGGCUACGGCUCAACCGUAGUAAGCCUUUGAAACUGGGAAACUUGAGUGCAGGAGAGGAGAGUGGAAUUCCUAGUGUAGCGGUGAAAUGCGUAGAUAUUCGCAAGAACACCAGUGGCGAAGGCGGCUCACUGGCCCGGUACUGACGCUGAGGUGCGAAAGCGUGGGGAGCAAACAGG
rnacentral:rRNA from 1 species